rnacentral:rRNA from 1 species
AGUGAACGCUGGCGGUAGGCCUAACACAUGCAAGUCGAACGGCAGCACAGUAAGAGCUUGCUCUUACGGGUGGCGAGUGGCGGACGUGUGAGGAAUACAUCGGAAUCUACUUUUUCGUGGGGGAUAACGUAGGGAAACUUACGCUAAUACCGCAUACGACCUACGGGUGAAAGUAGGGGAUCUUCGGACCUUGCGCGAUUGAAUGAGCCGAUGUCGGAUUAGCUAGUUGGCGGGGUAAAGGCCCACCAAGGCGAGGAUCCGUAGCUGGUCUGAGGGGAUGAUCAGCCACCCUGGAACUGAGACACGGUCCAGACUCCUACGGGAGGCCGCAGUGGGGAAUAUUGGACAAUGGGCGCAAGCCUGAUCCAGCCAUACCGCGUGGGUGAAGAAGACCUUCGGGUUGUAAAGCCCUUUUGUUGGGAAAGAAAAGCAGCAGGUUAAUACCCCGCUGUCCUGACGGUACCCAAAGAAUAAGCACCGGCUAACUUCGUG